rnacentral:lncRNA from 1 species
GUGAGUGUGUCUGGGGGAACGAUCGAACAAGGAAUGAGGAGGGGGAAACCCUAAACUCAAGAAAUCAAGCAAUUGAAGCCUAAAAUCAUAAGAAAAUCCAGUGCAUGAGCCAUCUUAUCGAUCAUCUAAGCAUACCUAGUGAAGUGCUUGAAAGAAUAAGAACCAUGUCAAGAUGGACCAACUCAUGGGAAGCAAACGGGUCAAAGAGGAGGCAAAGAAACUAGCAUAAACAUGACGAGCACAAGGUAAGUGAUUUCUAUAAUCACUUCUUUAGUUGUUUAAGUAAUAUAAUGUUUUAAUUAUUAAGUUCAUAUGAAGUUGAGGUCAAAUCAAUAGAUUAUUUUGAUAAAUGCACGAAUGGGUCGAAUAAUUCAUAGAUAAAUAACAAGCCGAAUACGUAUAAGUUAAGAAAUUCCUUAACUCGGAUGUUGGACUUCAAGGUCACAUGAUAGAAUAUUAAAUUACAAUCAUAUAGGAAGAAACGUGACGCAAAACGGAUGAAAAAUGAGAGAGUUAUGUCCGUUUCGGUAAGGAUUAAUGGCUAGGAAAAGUGCAGAGUUGACACGGCCGGGUGGUGAACUGACACGGCCGGGUGAAGGUUCUGUCAAAAAUAUUAUUUAUGUGAUUUAUGCGCCGUAGGUUGCGGUAUAUUAUCCGUGAAUUACGACGGGCCUCCCAAACAUGAUUUCGAGUGUUUCCUUGACGAUUAUAAGUUGUAAACCCAAGUCUAAGCCUCAUGUAAUUUAUAUAAGAGUGUGUUAGAUGUAUGUAAUGAGGUUGGACAUGUAUUACAUGUAAAUGUAUACAAAAAUACGUACGGAACACGUAGGUAUGAAUACAUGAUUGUAGGUAUGAUUAAAUGUAUUUUAGGUAUGUAGAUGUGUAUGAUUGUAAGAUUGUAUGUGUGCAAGUAUGUGCGAAUGCAUGAUUUGGAUGCAUUUGAGAAUUAGCGUUACUAAUAAUGCCCUUGGGUUUGGAAUAUAAGUUAAUUGGAUGCAUUUAAAUGGUUGACGUCCUUUUUAUGAAGAUGUAGUAAAUGAAUAUGUUGAGAUUACGGGUUUGGCUAACCAAGUUAUUAUUGAGUAUGUUUGAAAGUGCAGGUUAUGAAUGUCGGACUUUCAAAGUGUUGAUAUAAUAAUGAAACGGUUGAAUCUUGAAAGGAUAAUCGGAUUGAAGUAACUUAUGCGGUUAGAAUAUGCUGUGGACGUUUUAGUUUAUACAACAUUUUAUGUUUGGUCGUCAUCAUCUACCAACGGGUUAGUUGUUUGAAAAUAUAUGUCAUACCCAUUUAAUUGGGUAAUCGAAUGCGCGAGAGAAAUGAAAGUACAUACACGAAUGGAACUAAAGUGACGGUUUUAUAAGUAAAUAAGUAAAUGACUAACUUUUUAAAGCUUUGUUGUUGAAUGUAGGUAAAUCCUCAAUUCAGGCGACUUGGAGAAUCGGAGCGAGCGCGUGUUCAUGUUAUGUCAUACCAAACGCUUCCGCUAGCUUGUUCAAAUGUUUUUAGUCCAAAAUUUGUUGUAUUGGUUCUUAGUAGUAUUUUGUCGAAUGAAUCGUAGAAUUGUAUCUAGUUUGAUUAUGUUUAAAACAGGGGAAUGCUCGUUUUAUGGACGGGUCAUGCCCAAUUUUUGUUAAAUUAAUGCACCUGCGUUAUUGAU